CUCUGAAACACCGUUUCCCGUACGAUCACGGAAGUUAAGCACCGCCGAGCCUGGUGCGUACGUAGACUGGUAAACUGUUGAGAAUACCACGUACUGUAAG